UGCCAGCAGCCGCGGUAAUACGAACCGGACAAACGUUAUUCGGAAUCACUGGGCUUAAAGAGUACGUAGGCGGCUAUACAAGUUGGGUGUGAAAUCCCACGGCUCAACCGUGGAACUGCGCUCAAAACUGUAUAGCUAGAGGGAGACAGGGGUGAGCGGAACUGAUGGUGGAGCGGUGAAAUGCGUUGAUAUCAUCAGGAACACCGGUGGCGAAGGCGGCUCACUGGGUCUCUUCUGACGCUGAGGUACGAAAGCUAGGGUAGCGAACGGGAUUAGAUA
rnacentral:rRNA from 1 species